GAUGAACGCUGGCGGCGUGCCUAAUACAUGCAAGUCGAGCGAACGGACGAGAAGCUUGCUUCUCUGAUGUUAGCGGCGGACGGGUGAGUAACACGUGGAUAACCUACCUAUAAGACUGGGAUAACUUCGGGAAACCGUAGCUAAUACCGGAUAAUAUUUUGAACCGCAUGGUUCAAAAGUGAAAGACGGUCUUGCUGUCACUUAUAGAUGGAUCCGCGCUGCAUUAGCUAGUUGGUAAGGUAACGGCUUACCAAGGCAACGAUGCAUAGCCGACCUGAGAGGGUGAUCGGCCACACUGGAACUGAGACACGGUCCAGACUCCUACGGGAGGCAGCAGUAGGGAAUCUUCCGCAAUGGGCGAAAGCCUGACGGAGCAACGCCGCGUGAGUGAUGAAGGUCUUCGGAUCGUAAAACUCUGUUAUUAGGGAAGAACAUAUGUGUAAGUAACUGUGCACAUCUUGACGGUACCUAAUCAGAAAGCCACGGCUAACUACGUGCCAGCAGCCGCGGUAAUACGUAGGUGGCAAGCGUUAUCCGGAAUUAUUGGGCGUAAAGCGCGCGUAGGCGGUUUUUUAAGUCUGAUGUGAAAGCCCACGGCUCAACCGUGGAGGGUCAUUGGAAACUGGAAAACUUGAGUGCAGAAGAGGAAAGUGGAAUUCCAUGUGUAGCGGUGAAAUGCGCUGAGAUAUGGAGGAACACCAGUGGCGAAGGCGACUUUCUGGUCUGUAACUGACGCUGAUGUGCGAAAGCGUGGGGAUCAAACAGGAUUAGAUACCCUGGUAGUCCACGCCGUAAACGAUGAGUGCUAAGUGUUAGGGGGUUUCCGCCCCUUAGUGCUGCAGCUAACGCAUUAAGCACUCCGCCUGGGGAGUACGACCGCAAGGUUGAAACUCAAAGGAGUUGACGGGGACCCGCACAAGCGGUGGAGCAUGUGGUUUAAUUCGAAGCAACGCGAAGAACCUUACCAAAUCUUGACAUCCUUUGACAACUCUAGAGAUAGAGCCUUCCCCUUCGGGGGACAAAGUGACAGGUGGUGCAUGGUUGUCGUCAGCUCGUGUCGUGAGAUGUUGGGUUAAGUCCCGCAACGAGCGCAACCCUUAAGCUUAGUUGCCAUCAUUAAGUUGGGCACUCUAAGUUGACUGCCGGUGACAAACCGGAGGAAGGUGGGGAUGACGUCAAAUCAUCAUGCCCCUUAUGAUUUGGGCUACACACGUGCUACAAUGGACAAUACAAAGGGCAGCGAAACCGCGAGGUCAAGCAAAUCCCAUAAAGUUGUUCUCAGUUCGGAUUGUAGUCUGCAACUCGACUACAUGAAGCUGGAAUCGCUAGUAAUCGUAGAUCAGCAUGCUACGGUGAAUACGUUCCCGGGUCU
rnacentral:rRNA from 1 species